AUUGAACGCUGGCGGCAUGCCUUACACAUGCAAGUCGAACGGCAGCACGGGAGCAAUCCUGGUGGCGAGUGGCGAACGGGUGAGUAAUGUAUCGGAACGUGCCCAGUCGUGGGGGAUAACGUAGCGAAAGCUACGCUAAUACCGCAUACGAUCUAUGGAUGAAAGCGGGGGACCGUAAGGCCUCGCGCGAGUGGAGCGGCCGAUAUCAGAUUAGGUAGUUGGUGGGGUAAAGGCCUACCAAGCCGACGAUCUGUAGCUGGUCUGAGAGGACGACCAGCCACACUGGGACUGAGACACGGCCCAGACUCCUACGGGAGGCAGCAGUGGGGAAUUUUGGACAAUGGGCGCAAGCCUGAUCCAGCAAUGCCGCGUGCAGGAUGAAGGCCUUCGGGUUGUAAGCUGCUUUUGUACGGAGCGAAAAGGCUCUCUCUAAUACAGGGGGCUCAUGACGGUACCGUAAGAAUAAGCACCGGCUAACUACGUGCCAGCCGCCGCCGUAAAAC
rnacentral:rRNA from 1 species